rnacentral:tRNA from 1 species
ACAUGGUGGUUCAGUGGUAAAAUUCUCGCCUUCCACGUGAGAGGCCCGGGUUUGAUCCCCAGCCAACGUA